rnacentral:rRNA from 1 species
CCUACGGGAGGCAGCAGUGGGGGAUAUUGCACAAUGGGGGGAACCCUGAUGCAGCGACGCCGCGUGGGUGAAGAAGCGCCUCGGCGCGUAAAGCCCUGUCAGCAGGGAAGAAAAUGACGGUACAUGAAGAAGAAGCCCCGGCUAACUACGUGCCAGCAGGCGCGGUAAUACGUAGGGGCCAAGCGGUAUCCCGAUUUACUGGGUGUAACGGGGGCGCAGACGGGGAUGCAAGCCAGGAGUGAAAGCCCGGGGCCCAACCCCGGGACUGCUCUUGGAACUGGGUGGCUGGAGUGAAGGAGGGGCAGGCGGAAUUCCAGGUGUAGCGGUGAAAUGCGUAGAUAUAAGGAGGAACACCGGUGGCGAAGGCGGCCUGCUGGACUGCAACUGACGUUGAGGCCCGAAAGCGUGGGGAGCAAACAGGAUUAGAUACCCGUGUAGUC